rnacentral:pre_miRNA from 1 species
AGAAACUUGGAAACUACCGUUGGAUUGAGAAAUGGACGUCCGAGAUUCGUCCACGUCACCAUGAGUUAAAAUUUAACUCCCAGUAAAAUUUUAACUCAUGAGUGAAUCCGCGAGUUAAAUUUUAACUCAUGGUGACGUGGACGAAUCUCGGACGUCCAUUUCUCGAUCCAACGGUAGUUUCCAAGUUUCU